GCAGGUCACAAUCUUUGAAUUCUGUGAGCUAGAGUCCAUGAAGCCUGAAGGAGGAUAGCUCCCAUGUGUCUGCUCUGGAAAGAUGCAAAGCAGCAGCAGCAGGACAUCCAGAGCAGAUUGACCAUGAACUUUCCCAGGAGAACAUCCUCCAGCCAGGCCAGCCGGGUGCAUGGGUCCUGCCCUCUCAGCAGCAGAAAAGUCUACUACUCUUCCUGAAGGGGCAGCCCCAGGACCCAGGGGUGGUUCGGAUUCUCACUGGGCUGCUGACCCUGUUCCUGGGGCUUGCAAUGGCUUCUUUUACUCAUCCUUCUAUUGAAAACCACAUGGUUCUUGAGACUGAAAUAGGCUACCACCUAUGGGACCUUUCUCUUUCUUCAUAUCUGGGGCUCUGUCCAUUGCUGCUGGAAGGAAGAUGACCAAGGGCUUGGCCUGGCCAUCCUGUCUGUGCUGGAAGCCUCCAUUGCUUCUCUCUCUCCAUGUGUAGGUGCAGGUGACCUGCUCUGUCAACAGG